rnacentral:lncRNA from 1 species
GCCGGCUACCGGCAUUCGUAAACCAACCAUCGUACCAUUUACAUCAAGUAAAGUCAACUAAAGUUUUUUUAACUCUUACGCUGAUUUAUAUCAUAAAUUUUUUGAAGACAACAACAGACAAGAGUCAUGUAAAGGCAUCGCAGUGCGUGCGGAGCGCGCCAGUUUUCCAGCGCCCUACGGGCUUGGUGCUAGAACAAUCCGUACACUACUUCUACUCUUCCACCGCUCCUGAGCCAGGUUAGAUUCCCAAAUCUAUCCACUUCUGAGUGAGAACGCACACACUAGUGCUUGCAUUAUACAUUCGGGAUGUAGCAUCAAGGUUAAACCCGAGCAAAUAAGUGCUGAGAUAACUGAGAAACAGGCUGAAGGGAAUAAAAAAAUAUCUGAUUGAGAAAAAAAAUACAACUGGAUCGAAUAGUUUAAAAAUCGGAGCUUCGGUUCCGUCCAGGGCUUUUAGCCCUGUUGGGUUAUAAGCUGUGCAGGCAGGAUAUUAGGAAUUGAGCUCAAGUGAUUACCUUUUUUGGCGCCGUAAUAGUGAGAACUCCAUCAGAAGAAAGACUCGAGGUAACUUGCAGUGGGUCGUGAGACGAGGGAAGAAUAUAUCUUCUGAUAAAGUGCCUGGUGAUAAAUCCGUGCUCGUCCUUUCUUUCUUCGUGUUUCGCCUCCACUAUAAUAUUGUUGUCAACUGUUUUGACAAUUAUUUCAUCUGGCGAGAAUUGUUGAACGUCUAGUAUCACCUGAAAACAAAAUAAUAGCUUAGCAAAUCGGGAGUACAAAAAUUGUAUUAUGCAGAAAGUCAGCUUUAGAUUCAUUAAAGCAAAGAUUCAUUGAAUUUAAAGUCACUUAAAGGUCUACUUGUCAAAGAAAUUAACUAUUACAAUAAAAAUAAUUAUUAUUUCGAGUCAUUUAAAAACAUCUAGUCGCAGUAUAUAGGCAAUUAGAUAUUUUUAACUUAAAUUUGACUCGCGAGUUCGCUCGCGAGUCGACUUCUGACAUAAACAAUUACAGUGAAUUAAAUAAAUUUCCAUUUUUUAUGUAAAAUUUUCAAAUAAAUUUUUUCAAUAAUUUUAUGAACGAUAUUGCUGAAGAAAUGUAGUGAAUACGAAGGCCUACUUGUGUGAAAAUACUCUUUUUAUCAAAAGUAGUGCGUGCAUACAAGUAGGUGAUGACAAUUGCCCUAAGCGAUUGCGAGAAGAAGAGUUUAGGCGUUUUACAUACCAUCUAUUUGUACAGUAUGAUUGAUUUUUUUGAGCAAGUGAAUAUUCGAGUUUCAUGUAAACUGAAUGAUUAUUAUCGUUUGAGAACAGAGAAUUAAUUUAUGCUGUAAAUGCGAGUGCGAGAGAUAAAGCAAAAAAUAUUGUGAGAUUUUUUAGUGAUAGUAAAAAAUAGAAAUAUUAGUUAAGUUGAAUUAUUGGCUGUCAGAAUUUCAAAAGAUUUAUUUUUUUAUUCACAUAUUAAAUAAAUAGAAAAAGUUUUAUUUAACCCUUAACCCCAUCGGGGGGUUAGGGGAGGGAUAAACAAACAAAAGAUUUUAUUAUUCUUGACAAUAUACAUAAAUAAAUCCGGUAAUUGUUGAAAGAAGACUGAACUGAGUACUAAAGCCCACGUUUAAAAGGAAAAAGUGAAAAGUAAAAAAAAAAUUUGAUAGUAUUUAUUAUUAUUACAGUUAAAAAUAAAAAUUCUACUGUGACCCAGAAUAUUCAAUUUUACACGUUAAAUUUAAAAAUUACUGUAUUAUUGUAUACGAAAAAAAAAUAUUUAAAGUCAGUGUUGAACAAAGAAAAAAAAAAAAUAAAGAGGGCAUUUCGUGAACUGAAUUAGGUUUUCCAUACCCCUCUCAAAAAGAGAGGGGUUAUAACAAAAAAUAAUAAAAAUAUGGAAUAUCAUUAAAUAAUUAGAUUGUUUAUUUAUCGAUUCGUUACUAAAAACAGUACGUAUCGAAAUUACUUAACACAAAAUGCUAUGUCAGCAAAAAGGCAAAUAUCUUUUGAUAUCAUAUCAUGAAGAUUUUCUUCCUUCUCUUAAUUCAAAUAAGUAUUCUUUGCCAAUUAUAGCUUCCUAAGUAUAAUUUAAAACCAUUGUUUGAUUAUAAAAAUUGUGUAUCAUUUGAGAAUCAUUUUUCUCUUGAAAGCCCUUAAAUUCUUUUGUCCAUUGAAUUAUUGCUAAAUAAAUACUUUUUCAAUAACCCGAGAGGGAUCUUUUGAUCCCUCUCCAUGAUCAUCAUUCAAAAACUCAUGAAAAAAUAGAGCUAAAAACCUAAAUAUUCCUUGAUUCAAUUUUUAUAACACACAAUUUAUUUCAAGAAUAAGUUUAGGAAUAGUUUAUAAUAGAGAACAAAACGUAUGCUAAAGGUCAUAGUAGGUUUAUCACUAAACACUUGAUUAUCAGGAUCACUAAGUUACAAUUUAUUGAUAGCAUUAAGGAUAAGGUGUUUGAUAAGAAGGAUUGCAUUGUUAGAUUAUUAAGCGUUUUAUCCAGUUGAAUACAUUGACUUUACUGAGUGUAGUGGUGAAAGAAAAAUCAAAGGCAUAAAAACUUAUUAAACAAUCAUUUACACGGUCUUGUCGAUUUUAACUAGAGGUUAGAGGGCACAACUAGGAGCUUUUAAAGAUUUACCAUUAUUAUAAGUGCUGAUAAUAAUUUCUUUCAAGUCCUAUAUUCAUUACUUUCUUCAAGUUUAGUAGAUUUUUUAACUCGUGUCGUGGAAGUUUUUGGAAUACUAGGGUAUUCUAAACUUCCACGACACGAUUUUUAGUGAUUAAAUUUUUUUUUGUUUUCUAUUCAUAAUUAUUCAUUCGUAUUUUUGACUGAAGUUGCAAGUGUGAAUUUUUUCUAUCAAAGAUUUCUUAAUCAGCACUUUAAUAUAAGGUUUAAGAUAAUGCUUGACUAUUUUGCUUAUUUAUAAGUUGAUAGUUCCUUUUGAAGUUUAUUUUGAUAUCUCUUUUUUAUUUUUUUGUUCAUUUAUUUUUAAAAUGAUAUAAAAUUUGAUUUGAUACUUGAAUAUUCCAGAUCUUCCGAUAAAUUUAGUAUAACAUAAGAAAGUAAAUUAAAAAUAAAAUCUUAUAAAUUAUUAUCAUUAAUUUCUUUAACUAGAUUUGUGCCUUUUUAAUUAUAGUUUAUCAAUAAUCGAUUUAUUUUAUCACUUAAAAUCAUAACUUUAGUAGAUUCUUAAAAGUUACUAGGCUUGGCGACUCUCGCUUCUUCCGAAACUUUCUUCUUGAUUAGUCUCGGAAAAAUCGAGAGUCGCCGUAUUUUUAUUUCACUUUAUUUCACUCUUUUCUUUUAUAUCAAUGAUAAUUUUCCACUAAUUAUACUUCAUAUUGUGUGUGUUUGAAAAUUUCAUGGGUUUGACUUUCCAGCAAUUAUAUAAACUAGAGUGGGUAAAGCUAAGGUAUUAAAAACAACGCUAAAAAAGAUAAGAAAUAUUAUAAGCUUCUAUAAUUCUCAUUAUAUGGCUGGUGUCAAUGAAAUAGAGUUAAUGAUACUUAAUGAAAACUGGCAAAAUGUGACAGUGAACCAACUACACGAAAUAAUAAAAUAAAACAUACGGUCCGUAUCUUAACCAGCAGUCAUAGUAAACGAGUGAAAAAAAGUAACUAUAUCAGUAAAGUUUAAACUAAAAAUAAUAGAGAAUGUUAAUGAAAUAAUUAUAAUACUUCUUAUAACAAAUAAAAAAAGUGUCACCACCACCGUAUAUCACAGCGAAUUAUUAAAUAUUGAAUAAUUGAAUAAUAAACAGUAAUUUAAAAUCAUUGUUUCUAAUUUAACUUGAAAAAAAAACUGUCGUGAUUAAAUACCCAUUAAUCGAUAUCUUAUAACUUAAGAUUAAUUACUAGGAACACGAUAGGAAUAUGUUGGUAUAGGUAAUAUUUGAUGAUUAAUUAUAUUCGCACGAGCUUUUUGCUUGCCAUCUAAUUAUUUGCACAAACGGUUGAUGAAAAGAUCGUGGUUUAGUAAGAGGUAUCAGUGAGAAAUAAUGUUUAAAUAAAAUACUCAUAACAUUCAGUGUAACAUUUAAAAAUCAAUGGUAAUACUCGUGUUUAAAGUAUCGAUAAGUAUUUCAAAGAAUUAGCACUUACUUCAAAUUUAUUCUGAUCACACUGGAUAGUGCUUACACCUCCAGAUUUAGUGGUCGCGAGUGUUCGCCACGGCCGAUAGUAAGACGGAGUCGAGAAUAAAGAACGAGGUCUAUUGAAGCUCCAUGAUGAAAUAUCAGAGAAUAAGUCGUCUCGAGUUAAACCGCUCCCAAAAUGUUGAUCGAUAAGUCUAGAGAUAGGGCGAUCGAAGUCAUCCCACCAAUUGUGAAAAAAAAGCGGUACCACCGACAUUAUCUAAAAGAGGAAAAAGAAUAUGAGUAAUGUUAGAAAUCAAAUAAUCACUUCAACUUAUUAAAUCAAUAGUUAGAGUUGCAUUAAUGAUGAGUUUAACUAAAGUAAUUAAUUGGAUAAUUAAUUAGAUAAUAAAUUAGAAGCUACAGUAAAUAGUAGACUGAAGAUUGUGAGUGAGGGCACUAUCUAGUAUCUAGAGAAUAGAAUGAUAUGAUGCAAAAAUCAGAUAAUAUUUGAAAUGAACGGUUAUUA